rnacentral:rRNA from 1 species
GAUGAACGCUGGCGGCGUGCUUAACACAUGCAAGUCGAACGAGAAGUGAAGACGGAAACCUUCGGGCGGAAGGCUUUAUUUCGAGUGGCGGACGGGUGAGUAACGCGUGGGUAACCUGCCUCAUACAGGGGGAUAACAGUUGGAAACGACUGUUAAUACCGCAUAAGACCACAGCACCGCAUGGUGCGGGGGUAAAAACUCCGGUGGUAUGAGAUGGACCCGCGUUCGAUUAGCCAGUUGGCGGGGUAACGGCCCACCAAAGCGACGAUCGAUAGCCGAUCUGAGAGGAGGACCGGCCACAUUGGGACGGAGACACGGCCCAAACUCAUACGGGAGGGAGCAGUGGGGAAUAUUGCAAAAUGGGGGAAACCAUGAAGCAGCGACGCCGCGUGAGUGAAGAAGUAUUUCGGUAUGUAAAGCUAUAUCAGCAGGGAAGAAAAUGACGGUACCUGAGUAAGAAGCCCCGGCUAACUACGUG